ensembl:lncRNA
AGAAGACUCUUGAGAGUCCCUUGUACAGUCCCUUGGAUCAAACCAGUCAAUCCUAAAGGAAAUCAACUUUUCGGAAAUCAAAGAAUAUUCAUGCAAGGACUGAUGCUGAAGCUCCAAUACUUUGGCCACCUGAUGUGAAGAGUCGACUCAUCAGAAAAGACCCUGAUGCUGGGAAAAACUGAAGGCCUUCUCGAGGAUGAGGAGCGGUAGCUGCGUGGACGCAGGAGGGCCUAGAGGAGCUACUCCACGUUCAAGGUCAGGAGGGGCAGUGUUGAGGAGAUACCCCUCAUCCAAGGUAAGGAGCAGCAGCUGUGCUUUGCUGGAGCAGCCGUGAAGAGAUACCCCACAUCCAAGUGCACCACAUUCUGGCGUCGGAGGCGCUUCUGCACAUGUACAGUGAGGUGCGUGGGGCUGCAGCUCGGGCGGCUGCGACUGUGCACAGAGCCGCACUGAGAGGAGCUACCCCACGUCCAAGGUCAGGGGCAGUGGCUGAGAGUGCCAGGCUGCGAGGGCACAGGAACGGCCAAGAGGAGCUACCCCACGUCCGAGGUCAGGGGUGGCGGCCGAGAGGAGCUACUCUGCGUCCGUGGUCUGGGGCGGUGACGAGAGUGCCAGGCUGCGACAGCGCAGGAGCAGCCAAGAGGAGCUACCCUACGUCCGAGGUCAGGGGCGGCGGCCGGGAGGAGCAAACCCACGUCUAAGUAGCGGUGGCUGCGCGGGCGCAGGAGGG